GCCACCCCUUGGUGCCUACUAAAGGCUCCUCUCAGCUUAGUCUUUAUGGACAGAAUCUUUCAGAAAUGUAUGACUUGCAGAGUCAUAAAGGCCCAAGGGGAGAGACUGCUGGAUAUCCUGCUUUACAUCUUCUAGCCAUCCUCUAAUAUCAUCAUCAUCAUUAUCACCUUCAUCAUCAUCAUCAUCAUCAUCAUCAUCAUCAUCACCAUCAUUAUUAUCGUUAUCAUCAUCAUCAUCAUCAUCAUCAUCAUCAUCACCAUCAUCAUCAUCAUCACCAUCAUCAUCAUCAUCAUCAUCAUCACCAUCAUCACCAUCAUCAUCACCAUCAUCAUCAUCAUCAUCAUCAUCAUCACCAUCAUCAUCACCAUCAUCAUCAUCAUCAUCAUCAUCAUCAUCACCAUCAUUAUUAUCGUUAUCAUCAUCAUCAUCGUAAUAUCUAUAAUUUAUAUAGCACUAUGUGCCAGGCACCGUGCUAAGCAUUUGCAGUUAUUAUCUCAUUUAAUCCUCUCAACAACACUGGGAGGUUGGGCUUAAUCACUGAGUCACUCACUCCAAGAAAAAGAAAAUCAAACUUUCCAUCUCAGAAGCAAAGCUGAGUCCCUAUUCAAUGAGCAUAUGGGACUUUCCUCACAAGGAUUAGUAUCCUGAAAUUGACUGGAAGUCAUCUCCUCACCUUCAGGUGAGAGAGGAGCUGUCCUGGGUGAAAACCCUUCCAUGAUUCCUUCAGUGCAUAAGACCAUUGAUGCAGCAGUUUGAGCAAAAUUUUCUAAGUGUCCCCUUUUUCACAGGAUGCACCAAAAUUUCUCUAGGGGUCCUUGUUCUAUUGCCAAUGCCAUGGAAGUAUCGGUAAAUUUCCUCUAGUUUUUUAUUUCAAAGAGUAACCAAAAUUUUCCCCAAUGGAUCCCUGCCACUGCAAGGACACUCCUAUUUGAAGUCCAAACUCACUCAGGAAUGGGACAAAUAGUCUUAUUUAGAGAAAAAAACAAACAAG
rnacentral:lncRNA from 1 species